rfam:Oryza meridionalis cultivar OR44 (W2112) chromosome 1, whole genome shotgun sequence.
AAUAAGUGCAGUCUUAGCACGGUUCAUGCCCAACGUUUGACCGUUCGUCUUAUUUGAAAAAAGAUUAUGGUUAGUAUUUUUAUUGUUAUUAGAUGAUAAAACAUAAAUAGUACUUUAUGUGUGACAAAUUUUUUUAAUAUUUUUCUUAAUUUUUUCAAAUAAGACGGAUGGUCGAAACGCUGAGCACGCAUAUUUAUGGUUACACUUAUU